rnacentral:lncRNA from 1 species
AUAAACUGCUUGUUCCUAUAUAAUCAUAGAUCACUUUGCAGAAUGCAGGCUUCAGACAACAGAGGUAAAAAAGUCUGCAGUGUUUUCCUGUGAAGCAAUCUUUGUUUCUUAAAAAAAAAAAAAAAAAUCACAACAAAACCUAAAAGCCCUAAGUCAGUAUCUUCCCGCAACUGCAGCUGAUUUCCUGUGUAAACUAAAACCAUGUGAUAUUCCAUAAGUGCUUCCAGCUCUAAAUUACAGGAAAUGAAAACCAUCAUGGAAAAGGAAAGCUUUGGAAUAAAUUCCCAGAUCAGAUAUCAUUAUAACUACAUCUCGGUCUGAUUACAACGUGGGUGCUUUCUGACAUACCUGGGAGAGAUUAAAGGGGCUGGCAGCAGCUGAUGGCGUGCGGUGUCACCCCGGCCCCGCUGCAGGACAGAGACAUCUCCCACACCCAGGGCAGAGCCUCAGGGGUGCCACAGCUGAAAUCAGGGGCUGAGGUUGAUAAAGGGAGACAUUUUUAUGUACCCUUUGUGAAGGUCAGGCCGUGAGCCUUCAGCUGUAUUAAAUUGCAUGUGCCCCACACCGUCAUGGGUUGCAAUUAGCUGUCCACACGCACCCACAGCUGCACGUGCACGUGCUCUUUCACCAUCAAGGGCUUAGUGACUCUGCAGCCCUUCAUUGCUCAUUCUCUGCAAAAAAAGAAAGAAGCUGGGGUUGCACAAUGUCACACAAACCCAUGCUGGUAGGGAGCACGUACAUGAAAAGAAGAUAGGAAAGGAGGGCAGCCGAGCCCACCCCAUCCCACCUGAAUUUGGAAUCCAUGCAAGUGUUGCUGCCUGCUGCUACCAGCUGAAGGCUGUGGGAGAGAUUUCAGCCACGCUUUGUGAUGCUCCAUGUUUUUCUGUAGGUCUCCCCGAGGCUGUGAUGAACUUACCACUAGUUACAACCCUCCUUUCAACUGGAUUCUCCAUGCCUCUGACCAUCUUCCCGAUUUCCCGGCUUUUUUCCCUCUUGCUCGUAAAGGGAAAUCAGCGGAAUACGACCGAGAGACAGAAAGUGCCAGGAAACAAGCGGCGUUGUGGCCCGGCUUACAGGAAUCCCCCCUCCAGGAGGGGAGGUUUGCUUGCAGCGUCUCUCCAGUGCAGGAUCUGGCCGCAGCAGGAGCAGCGCAUGCCAGCAGGACUCGCAGGCACAGCAACGCCGAGCCCUGGGUGACAUCUCCUGCUAACGCUGACAUCCACCUCCAGCCCCAGCAGCUGCAGGCACAACCAGUUACCUGCUCCAUCCAGCUGGAAGGGCACGACGCUUAAUCUUACGCCCAAGGAAGUUUCCAAAUUGCCAUUGUACGAGUGCUGCAGUUGCUUAGGGGUUGGUGUUUUUCUUCGUUAGGUACUGAUAAUAGGCUCUGCGGGGAGCAAGCCACCAAAAUAAAAGAAAUCCUCGGUCCGAUGCA